ensembl:snoRNA
UUCAGUGAUGAAAACUGCUGCAUAGGAAGUGCCGUCUGAUGCGACAACUGACGAUUAUUCAGAGCGUUUCUGAGA